rnacentral:rRNA from 1 species
GGGGGGGGGGGGGGGGGGGGGGGGCGCGGGCGGGGCGGGCGGGGGGGGGCGGCUGGUGGGGGGUGCUCGAGUGGCGAGCGGGUGGGUAACACGUGGGUAACCUGCCCUUGACUUUGGGAUAACUUCAGGAAACUGGGGCUAAUACCGGAUAGGAGCUCCUGCUGCAUGGUGGGGGGUGGAAAGUUUCGGCGGUUGGGGAUGGACUCGCGGCUUAUCAGCUUGUUGGUGGGGUAGUGGCUUACCAAGGCUUUGACGGGUAGCCGGCCUGAGAGGGUGAACGGCCACAUUGGGACUGAGAUACGGCCCAGACUCCUACGGGAGGCAGCAGUGGGGAAUAUUGCACAAUGGGCGGAAGCCUGAUGCAGCAACGCCGCGUGCGGGAUGACGGCCUUCGGGUUGUAAACCGCUUUCGCCUGUGACGAAGCGUGAGUGACGGUAAUGGGUAAAGAAGCACCGGCUAACUACGUG